GGCUGUCUGACAAUUUUUUACUUGUAUUCAAGAUGCAGAUGGAUGUUAUUAGAAAGGUUUUUACUUUGAAUGUGCGCAGCUUGUCCACAUACCCAAGCUUAGAGCUCAGUAUUUAUGUAGUGCUUUUCAUCCUCAAAAGGGCUUUACGAGCUCAAGUCUUCAGAGCAGUUCUGUGAGGUGGGGGUGUGUGCAUUCUGUAAUAUGCUUCAUAACAAGGAGGGAUGCAUGUCAAUGUCUUGUUCAAAGAUACACUGUGUAGUGAGUGUUAUAAAGGAAGAAAAUCUUUACACCUGGGUUCCUCUCUGAUGUUCUGUCUGAAAAUCACAUGGUAUUAGUGAACCUCAGAGCAUGCAUAGAUGUCUGGAGGAAUUAAGUUUAGAAAUCAGUAGUUAUCUUGUCCCAAUAGGGAAUUCUUAAUUAGAGAUGGAGUGGCACUUGCCCUGACUAAAGAAGUAGGAAACUGUAAGAAGAAUGACCUGCUUUAUAGACCUACACUUCCUUCAUGCUUUCUGGGCAGACUGUCUACUUGGAGUAAUAAGAAGAGUGAGUUAAAGGCAGAUAGGUUAAAGCAAGCAUUUAUUUUAAUACUGCUCCAGUUUCCCUCUUUUAAUAACGUAAUUAUGUCCAGUCAGAACAAGACUCUGCAUCUUCUCAGAAAGAUGUUGAGAACUAGUUAAUGAGCAACCUAGUGUGGCAGAGAUGCUCACCUUUACCUGCUUAGUGCAGUAGGGUGGAGCAGGGGAAGGGAGUAAACUAAUCAUGCUUUUUUUUUAACCCCAAAAGAAUCUUUCCUUUUUUCCAAGAGGAUUCUGUGUUCAGGUAUUAGCUCCCUCUUGCUGCUCUGGGAAGGGUAUCUGGCCCCAGAAAUAACUCUGGAGAAAUGCAACUUACUUUCUGGUUUUCUAAACAUUACAGAGUUUCAGGUGAGUUCAUGAUAAUGAUGGGAAGAAAUUUCAUGAGAAAUACUCUGUGAUGAAUUACAAGUUAUGACAUUUUUAUGAAUUCCACAUCCACAGCCUUUAAUGUUGGCUACCCUAAUCUGCUUUAUUAUUGUUUAAGUGAGUAUGUCUGGGCCAAUUAAGCAUUUUCAUUUGCCCAUAAAUGUUACAAAUGCCUGCUAGAGUUGGAAGACUGAUUUAAGCUCAAACAUCUGGGGUACAGAGAUGUUUAACCAUGCCUAUUCAGUACCUCUGCUGUCUUGAUGACAAAAUACAUACAUGCUCAUUGCAAAACCAUUUGAGUUUUAAAUUGCUGCCUUAAAGCUAUGCAGUGCUCUGGAUGUGUCCAGCACUUCAAUUCCUCUUUAAAUCCCACCAUAACAAAGAGUUACAAGCACUGCUCUGUGAGUUCACUUAACCUGCGGACCACUGCCUAACAGUUGCCUUCACAUCUCCAUCCACCUACAAAUCCUUUUAUUAUUAUUUCCCACAAGACUGUCCUUGGAAGUAUCAAGUUUGUAGCUCCCACAAAAUGAGAUGCAACUCAACUCCUGCAUACAUAGGUCUUUUGGGAUCUAACUACAGUAGAGAAAUACUUCCCCUUGCUUCAGCAUUGCCAUCCAAGUUAAAAUUAGCUGAGUAUCUGCACCAUUACUGCUGGGUACAAAAAAUGUGUAAUGCUACUGCUUGAAGGGUCCCUCUUUGCUCUUUGAAGAUGUGCUGAUGUGUGUUUUAAUCUAUUGUAUUUACAUUCCCCAGGAGAAUCAGCCCACUGUCUGACUCACAUUCAUAUGUGUUUGGGGUGGGAUCCUUACUAAAAAUGUAUCAGUGAGGAGUGGAAGAAUGAUAGGUAGUUUGAGGGAAGUCUCAGGAAGUCGAUUUGCAUGUAACAAAAUAUCUAUAUGAAUACUUAGCUUCAGGAGUGUUGGUGUUAUUUCUGAAGCGCAAGGGACCAAGACAUAUUAAUUAAAGAUGAAAUUUUCUCUUGUACUUCGUUUCUUUUCCUCCAUGGCAAGAAGAAUCUGCUUUAUCCUGAAUGCAAGAGUAAUGCUAAGGCUUCAGGCAAGAUUAUAAGCUACUUGCAUCUAUGGAAUGGAGCUACGCAGCUAGCUUCAACCUAGGGACUUACCAUUUUGUGAGCUGUUGCAUUGCUAACAAGACACAGAAGUUGCUGUUAGACAAAAAGGGCUGAGAUUUUUUCGCUGUUUGUCCUGAAGCCCUUCCCAGCAGCAAUGCUGAGCAUGUCUUAGAGAGAUCUCUCUUUCUGGGAGGUUCAAACAGUGCUGUAUUUUUAGCUGGAAGUGAAAGGGAGCAUACCCAUCCUCUAUUGCAACAUUAUGGAAGUUCCCAGCAACCCCAACAGGAACCAGAGCCAAGGAGCAGAUCCUGAGCUGUUUUAAACAGGCAAGAACUAGCUGAUCUCCCUGAAAUAUGUAGGUUUUCAUUAGCUGAGGAACUGGGCUGUAAUAUGUAGCAGGAGAAAGGAUCCGCUUGUGCCCUACUUCACAUGAAUGCAGCUGUAAACACGCUGUAGCAGGUGGUUUCCAGUCUCCGCUCUGCAACAUUUUUAGAGGAGGACACUCCUGAGGUAUGUCAAGACUUUCUUGUCCAAAGGACUUAAUACACUGUGCUGUCUCCAUUCCAGCUAGCUGGAGCUGAAGGAAGAGACACACGAGGGUGUAUUUACUGUGUCAGCGUACAAUGUCUUUGUCAUGCUGGUAAGAUGCCGAAAUGUCAGCAGUAUUUUAAGCUGCAUGAAAAAGGGGAAAAUUCCUAGAAGAGAACUUCCCCAUGACAAAAUCUUUAAGAGUUCAUGUGUCUUUCAAAAUGUGCAUCUUCCAAAGAGUCCUGUUGGCUUCCCACAGAAAAAGCAAUCUUCGUCUCCACUACCUCUUUCAUACAAUACUUCCCACAUUUCAGUUUCUAUUCUGACUUAAACAACAUUUACAAGAUAUACAUGCUUGGGGGCAGGUCUUCUGUUGGCAGCUUCCCCUACAUGCAGCAAAAAUGAGAAGGGCUUUUUUUAAAAAAAACUUUAUUUUAUUAUUUUUUAUGAAUUUAUUCUGGAAAUCAAAAGUGAAGCAAGUUGCAGGUCUGCAUGUUUUUGCAGCAGUGGUAGAAGAAUGUGAUGGUGGAUGUUCUGAGCAGAAUCAUUGGUUACAGAAGAGCAAAGAUGCUGUUUAUCACAUUCUGCUGCUGAGCAUUUAAAGAGUAUUAUCUGCUUAACAAAUGGAAAAGAUAGUGAAAUGUAAACAAAAUAAUAGAAUGAAAAUAAUAAUUUAUUUCAGGUUUGUCCUAGGAACAGAUCCUGGCAACACGAGUAGCUCAUUGUAUGAACUUCUGCCCAGUGAUUAGUAACAAGUUGCCUGUUUGGUUCUGCCUAUUUUUGUCAGCUCCUUUAUGUCAUCGAUUGAAUGUUAAUCACAGAUUUCUUUCUUCAGAUGAAUGUAAUACUUGGAUUUGUCACAGUAUUUGUACAGAGGUAGAUGGGAGUGGAAACAGGAAUCUCCACAAGUUUUCUACAUAAAAAAGGCUUGUAGAAAGUCUUAAUUUUCACAUCAUUGAUAAACAUGUUAUUUAGAAAACAAACUUGGUCAUAACAACAUUUUGUACCCUUACAUUUCCAUGACUGAAUACAAAUGUUCUCGGUUAAUGUUUGCAGCAGAGCACUCUGCAUACAUGUGGGUAGGUAUAUUGCCAUUAUACUGUCAAGACUGAUGAGGACAAUUCCAGGAUAAGUUUAGCUUGCUUUGAUAGCUUACCUCAGUGUUGAUCUAUCUCAAAUAUGUUUUUAUAGAAUAAGGAAAAGUUAAAUCUUAAUUCUGUUUUAUUCCAAGUACUAGAUGUUUUCUUCUGGAAACAAGAUGAAACAAAAAAGGAACAUAAAUCAAUGAAGUGUGAUGUCACUGACUGUAAGUGACAAACAUAUUAACUUUUUUAGCUUUUACUGAUCUUGAAGUUGAUUCUGUCCACUUAAAUUGGUACCUAGUACUUCUCACAUUGUGAUAUAGGUGUGAAUAUGCUUUGCCAGGAUAUGUAUGCACAGCUUAGAAACAUUCACUUAAGCUCACACCCACACAUGUCCAUAUGCUUUGAACAGAUCUAAACGGUGACUGAAGGAAGAAGGCGGCAGAACCGCACAAACAUACAACUCAUCCAACAGUUAUUAAUUUUGAAGCAAUGGAAUAAUUUAUAAAGCUCGUAAGAAGGCAAUGGAAUUGGAAAUGCUCUUGUAAUGAGUGCUGUUAAUAUCAUACUGGAGAAUAUUCCUGAUGCACUGUAGUGCGGCAGUAGGGAAGAGUGUGGCUGAUUCCUAUAGAACAUGAUGACAAGAGUAAAGAGGUGAAACAUGAGGGGAAUGCGGCAUUCGGGGAUUCGUUCCAAGAAGCAGUUCCAACACGAGCUCAUUGAGCAGUACAGUAAACAAUGCUUGGUGGCUGACUGAGGAAAGGCGAUAUCUGGAAUAAUUAAUCAAUAAUUCAUGACAGAAAAAUGCUACCAGCCGUAAACUUAAUUUAAAAAAUAUAUAAUGCCCUGCAAUAAUGCAAAAAAUUAUGAAUAUAUGUUGUUUUUUUCUAAGAGUUAGUAUAGGCCAAAAGCCAAACAUGUCAAUCAUACAUAAUAAAACUGAUUAUCUUAAAAAAGAUUUAUGACAGUGAAAAUUAGACAGUCAGCGUAGAAUCCUAAUACUGAAAAAAUGCCACAUUUGCAGUGAAAGGUCUUAAUAACAGAGUUAACAACCAAUUUUUCACUUAUAAAUAUUUCACAUCCCUGUGCGGGAAUAAAAUUCCUACUUCUUUUAUGUUUCAUUUUCCUCACAGAGAUUUAGAUGUUUUAUUAAUCAUUACUCGUGAUCUAUUAGUGCAACAGAUUUAAUUUUGUCAGCUUUCUGUGUUUGAUGAGAAGCAGUAUCACUGGGUAUUAAUGAGUAUCUGGCUAUCUAUUGUUCAUACUUGAGUUACAUUCUUCCAAAGACUUGGCUGGCUUUGAAUAAAUAGUAAUCCUGUCUAGAUUGGCUUCCAGUCAAUUUCCCCUUUUCAUACUUCAGCACAAUCAUGUAAUGUUUACAUUUUAGGAACUUCAAAAGAUUAUCUUAAACAACUCAAUUGCUGUUAUUUAAGAAAGAAUAUGAACGCAUUUUCUUCCAGGAAAUAUAUUGGUUUUAAAAUAAAACACUGGCAUGUAAGUUUGAACUCUAAUUUGUCCAGUGAUGAAAACAUGAAUAAGAAUGAAGUAUUUUGUCCUUAUUUUGGAUGCUACUUAAAUAUAAAAUUCACAAAGCAUACGAUGCUGAACAUAUAAUUCACAAAAGUGUGGUAUCACAGAUAAAAUUACUCCUUUUACAGUGAGGGUGGUGAGGCACUGGAACAGGUUACCUAGUGAUGUGAUUGGUGCCCCAUCCCUGGAGACUUUCAAGACCAGGCUGGAUCAGGCCCUGGGCAACAUGAAUGUGGCUGUGGUGUCCCUUGUUUUGCAGGGGAUUUGGACUAGAUGGCCCUCAAAGGACCCUUUGUAAUCUAAGGAUUCUAUGACUCUAUGAUUCUAAUCCUGCCUGCAUUAGAUUGCGGAUGACUGGCUGCAGUUUAAACCUCCAUCAGUCAGUAUGUGUCAUCUGUCCCAGAGAGACCUGAUUUUAGUUUGUUACUUUUCUUACUGUGCAGUGGGCACAACUCAAGAAACAAGAUUUGCACCUCUCUCUUCUUGCAGGCAGACUGUUCUCAAGCCUACCAGCAAGGAAGAACUGAUUGAUGAGUAUUGGUCAUAGUAUAACUUUGAAACAUCCUGAUAAUGACAAAAGGUUGUCAGGAUAUUUUACACAAGUGGAUUUGUUACAAGUGUUCUUCUUUUUGUAGGAUGGGAAGGUGAAGGGAAAUCCUGAAGACUACUCUUCAAGAGGAGGAGGCAGGACAGAAGACUCAUAAUCGUGUCCUAACAGCACUUCCAUGGCUGAGCGAUAAUGGACACACCUGCAUUAUGAUCUCAAGUGUGCAUGUAGCUUGUGUGAGCCAAUCUGAGCUUACUCCAGAAAUUCAGGUUCCUUCACCUGUGAAUCUGAAGAGAAGGCUAUGUGGACUGUGAAUUCCUCUCAGAAGACACUGUAAGUAUUUGGACAGCUAAUUCGUGCAGGUCCCUGAGCUACUACUGCCAGUAUUAAGCUUCCUAGUUAAAGCCACUUUAGAUGGAUGCAGCUACAGCAAAAGCUGAAUGAUAAGUAUUCCCAAAUGUAACCAAACAAACUGGCAAAUUGAAUAAAUAUAUGAAAUACUU